rnacentral:rRNA from 1 species
UGGGAGACUACUAGGAUGGCCUCAGUACGGCGAGUGAAGCGGCCAGAGCUCAAGAUGGAAAUCUCCGUGCAGAGCACGGCGAAUUGUAAUCUAGAGAGGCUAUUCUCAAAGAGUGGUGGCGCAGAAGUGCCUUGGAACAGGCCGCCAAAGAGGGUGACAGCCCCGUACGUGGUGCCGCAGCUUAACGAGAAGGUCUUCAAAGAGUCGGGUUGUUUUGUAUUGCAGCCCUAAGUGGGAGAUAAACUUCUUCUAAAGCUAAAUACAUGUGGGAAACCGAUAGCGAACAAGUACUGUGAAGGAAAGAUGAAAAGCACUUUGGAAAGAGAGUCAAAAGACCUGAAACCGUUGAGGAGGAAGCGGUAGAGAUGAAUUCUACGGCGAUGCGCGGAGAAGGCGAUCUAAUCAUGGCGGGCGAGUCGAACGUAAAAGGCGGCCGUUUGUCCAAGAGGAAAUCGUUGGUUUGCGCGGCGUUGUGAGGCCGGAUGAAAUCGCGUGGCCGCAGAGGCUCUUAGUCAGUGCCGAGGUUCGCCUUGGAGGGCUGGGAAGUCGGUGGAUGCGUGGUUUGAGGGUGCUUUGUGCGAUCCGGUCAAAAUGGUCUUUACCGACUCGUCUUGAAACACGAACCAAGGAGUUUAACGUACACGCGAGUAUGCUAGUGGAAAAACUAUCAUGCGAAAUGAAGGUGAGAGAUGCCAAGCGCAAGCAGCAGCAUCAACCGACCAUGAUCCUCUGGUGAAAGGUUUGAGUAAGAGCGUGUCCGCUAAGACCCGAAAGAUGGUGAACUAUGCCUGCGUAGGGUGAAGCCAGGGGAAACUCUGGUGGAAGCUCGUAGCGAUACUGACGUGCAAAUCGUUCGUCGAACGUGGGUAUAGGGGCGAAAGACUAAUCGAACCAUCUAGUAGCUGGUUCCCUCCGAAGUUUCCCUCAGGAUAGCUGGGACAAUUGCGCAGUUUUAUUAGGUAAAGCGAAUGAUUAGAGGAAUCGGGGGAUUCAUUCCCUCGACCUAUUCUCAAACUUUAAAUUGGUAAGAACCCGGGCCUUUCUUAAUUGAGGCGCCGGGGCUCAAUGCGUGUCCUUAGUGGGCCAUUUUUGGUAAGCAGAACUGGCGAUGAGGGAUGCUCCUAACGUCGAGUUAAGGUGCCAAACUGCGCGCUCAUCAGAAACUACAAAGGGUGUUGGUCCAUUAAGACAGCAGGACGGUGGCCAUGGAAGUCGGAACCCGCUAAGGAGUGUGUAACAACUCACCUGCCGAAUGGACUAGCCCCGAAAAUUGAUGGCGCUUAAGCGCGCGACCGAUACUCGACCAUUACCUCGAGAGUGAGGAGGUGAUGAGUAGGAGGGCGUGGGCAUCGUUAAGAAGCCUCUGGCGUGAGCCUGGGUAGAACGGUGUCUAGUGCAGAUCUUGGUGGUAGUAGCAAUUAUUCAAAUGAGAACUUUGAAGGCCGAAGUGGAGAAGGUUUCCGUGAGAACAGCAAUUGGUCACGGGUGACUCGAUCCUAAGACAUGGGGGAAGUCCCUGUUAAGUACGCGCUUGCGUGUAGUCGAAAGGGAAUGAGGUUAAUAUUCCUCAAGCUGGAUGUGGGUGUUGUAUGGCAACAUAAAUGAGCCUGGGAACGCCGGCGCGAGCCUCUGGAAGAGUUCUCUUUUCUUUUUAACAGACUAGCGACCCUGAAAUGGGAUUAUCCCGAGCUAGGGUGGCAUGUCUGGAAGAGCACCUCGCUUUCCGAGGUGUCAGGUGCGCUCGCGACGGUCCAUGAAAACCCAGGUGAGAAGUC